UUGAACGCUGGCGGAAUGCUUUACACAUGCAAGUCGAGCGGCAGCGCGGGGCAACCUGGCGGCGAGCGGCGAACGGGUGAGUAAUAUAUCGGAACGUACCCUGUCGUGGGGGAUAACACAUCGAAAGAUGUGCUAAUACCGCAUACGACCUGAGGGUGAAAGCGGGGGACCGUAAGGCCUCGCGCGAUUGGAGCGGCCGAUGUCGGAUUAGCUAGUUGGUGGGGUAAAGGCCUACCAAGGCGACGAUCCGUAGCGGGUCUGAGAGGAUGAUCCGCCACACUGGGACUGAGACACGGCCCAGACUCCUACGGGAGGCAGCAGUGGGGAAUUUUGGACAAUGGGGGCAACCCUGAUCCAGCCAUGCCGCGUGAGUGAAGAAGGCCUUCGGGUUGUAAAGCUCUUUCAGACGGAAAGAAAACGCAUCGGUGAAUACCCGGUGUGGAUGACGGUACCGUAAGAAGAAGCACCGGCUAACUACGU
rnacentral:rRNA from 1 species